rnacentral:rRNA from 1 species
UACAGAGGGUGCGAGCGUUAAUCGGAAUUACUGGGCGUAAAGGGCGCGUAGGCGGUUUAAUAAGUUAGUUGUGAAAUCCCUGGGCUUAACCUAGGAACUGCAACUAAGACUGUUGAACUGGAGUGCGGUAGAGGGUAGUGGAAUUUCCGGUGUAGCGGUGAAAUGCGUAGAUAUCGGAAGGAACACCAGUGGCGAAGGCGGCUACCUGGACUGACACUGACGCUGAGGCGCGAGAGCGUGGGGAGCAAACAGG